rnacentral:rRNA from 1 species
GACGAACGCUGGCGGCGUGCUUAACACAUGCAAGUCGAACGUGAUUUUUGUGGAAAUUCUUUCGGGAAUGGAAAUGAAAUGAAAGUGGCGAACGGGUGAGUAACACGUGAGCAACCUACCUUACACAGGGGGAUAGCCGUUGGAAACGACGAUUAAUACCGCAUGAGACCACAGAAUCGCAUGAUAUAGGGGUCAAAGAUUUAUCGGUGUAAGAAGGGCUCGCGUCUGAUUAGCUAGUUGGAAGGGUAAAGGCCUACCAAGGCGACGAUCAGUAGCCGGUCUGAGAGGAUGAACGGCCACAUUGGAACUGAGACACGGUCCAAACUCCUACGGGAGGCAGCAGUGGGGAAUAUUGCACAAUGGGGGGAACCCUGAUGCAGCGACGCCGCGUGAGCGAAGAAGGUUUUCGAAUCGUAAAGCUCUGUCCUAUGAGAAGAUAAUGACGGUAGCAUAGGAGGAAGCCCCGGCUAACUACGUG